UCCCCUAGUAACGGCGAGUGAAGCGGGAAAAGCUCAAAUUUGAAAUCUGGCGGUCUACGGCCGUCCGAGUUGUAGUCUAGAGAGGUGUCUUCUGCGUCGGACCAUGCACAAGUCCCUUGGAACAGGGCGUCAUAGAGGGUGAGAAUCCCGUCCGUGGCAUGGACUCCCGGUGCUUUGUGAUGCGCCUUCGAAGAGUCGAGUUGUUUGGGAAUGCAGCUCAAAAUGGGUGGUAAAUUCCAUCUAAAGCUAAAUACAGGCGAGAGACCGAUAGCGAACAAGUACCGUGAGGGAAAGAUGAAAAGCACUUUGGAAAGAGAGUUAAACAGUACGUGAAAUUGUUGAAAGGGAAACGCUUGGAGUCAGUCGCGUUUGCCGGGACUCAGCCUUGCUUCUGCUUGGUGCACUUCCUGGUACACGGGCCAGCAUCGAUUUUGAUCGCCGGAAAAAGGCUUGGGGAAGGUGGCACCUUCGGGUGUGUUAUAGCCCCUUGUUGUAUACGGUGGUUGGGAUUGAGGACCGCAGCACGCCUUUUGGUCGGGGUUCGCCCACGCCACGUGCUUAGGAUGCUGGCGUAAUGGCUUUAAACGACCCGUCUUGAAACACGGACCAAGGAGUCUAACAUGCCUGCGAGUGUUUGGGUGUAAAACCCAGGCGCGUAAUGAAAAGUGAAAGGUUGGGACUCUUCGCUGAGGCACCGACGCCCGAUCCUGACGUUCUCUGACGGAUUUGAGGUAGAGCAUGUAUGUUGGGACCCGAAAAGAUGGUGAACUAUGCCUGAAUAGGGCGAAGCCAGA
rnacentral:rRNA from 1 species